CAUCAGUCCCAUCCCGCCGCCGCCAGCAUCUCCCACCUCGGGAUCCCUCCAGAUCCACCCUCUCUCCCUCGAUUUCCUGAUCGGGCCAACCACCUCCUUCCCUCGAUCCACCCAAUCCCGCAACCGAGGCCCGAGCUCCUCUCGCUCAAUCCCUCCUCGAGCAUCUGCCUCUGCCCGAGCUCCUACCGCAGCUCCCCAUCACCCUCGACCCCGCCUCGUCGGCCGGUCGACAACGGCGACCGGAACAACGCCGGAGAUGAGUGCCCCGACAGCCCCGCUCGUUUUCCCCUCCUGCUUCUCUACCUCUCUGUCUCACGAUCUUCCCCUCCCUCUCUCUGUUUUCGCUCACAGGAGACCGCCAUGGCGCCGCUGUAGUUCUUCUGAAGUUGGAUGCAGCAGCGCUGCAUCGAGCGCACGCCCGCGCCGCCGCUGCCGUGUCUGCCUCCCUCCGCCUCCAGCCGUCCCCGACGCCAUGCGCCUCGUCCGCCUUGCCAGGUUCUUCGCCAGUCCCUCGUCCCGCUCGUCUCCGACACCAGCGCCGUCCGCCCCGGCAACCUCGACGUCGAGCUCCAGUAGGAACUGCUUCGCGCGCCCCUGUACCCGCGAGCGUCUGAGGCUGCGCCCUCCUCCUCGUCCAGCCCCUCCCCGUCGCCUGCAUCUCCUUCGGCAACGCCGCCGUGCCCGCACGCCUAUGGCGAAGCUCCGGGAGCUCCGACGCCCUGGAGACCCGCGCCCCCGCCGGACAUCCUUCCUCCGCAUCCGGCCACGCCGGCGACAAGCCCUGCCUCCGCCGCCUCGUCAAGUUUCGCCGCCUGAACCUCCCUGCAUCGCCAUGGCCGCCGGCCUCCGUUUUCCCCGCUCUUCGGUUUCUUUCCGGAGUUGUGAGGAUUCGUUCGACUACGUCCGUUUGUCUUCUUCAUGGACUCGUUCUUCUUCCUUGCAGGAUCUCAGUUGCAGGUGCCGAGGAUACCAGUGCAGGUGGCGCAACUGAGCUCAAGUGGGAGCUCGAUGCAGAUCUUGUUCAUUGUGUUGUUUCUGUUCUUGUUGAUCAGUAGUGGAGCCCAGUUGGGACGAUCGGGGAUCUAGCAUUUGGGGUUGUCUUCUUUUAUUUUGGUUCCGUAGUCGGACCUAUGUGUGUACUCUGAUUGAUGUAUGAUUUUAUUAUGUAUUGUGUGAAGUGGCGAUUGUAAGCCAAUUC
rnacentral:rRNA from 1 species